UCAUCUCCGGGGGUAGAGCACUGUUUCGGCAAGGGGGUCAUCCCGACUUACCAACCCGAUGCAAACUGCGAAUACCGGAGAAUGUUAUCACGGGAGACACACGGCGGGUGCUAACGUCCGUCGUGAAGAGGGAAACAACCCAGACCGCCAGCUAAGGUCCCAAAGUCAUGGUUAAGUGGGAAACGAUGUGGGAAGGCCCAGACAGCCAGGAUGUUGGCUUAGAAGCAGCCAUCAUUUAAAGAAAGCGUAAUAGCUCACUGGUCGAGUCGGCCUGCGCGGAAGAUGUAACGGGGCUAAACCAUGCACCGAAGCUGCGGCAGCGACGCUUAUGCGUUGUUGGGUAGGGGAGCGUUCUGUAAGCCUGUGAAGGUGUGCUGUGAGGCAUGCUGGAGGUAUCAGAAGUGCGAAUGCUGACAUAAGUAACGAUAAAGCGGGUGAAAAGCCCGCUCGCCGGAAGACCAAGGGUUCCUGUCCAACGUUAAUCGGGGCAGGGUGAGUCGACCCCUAAGGCGAGGCCGAAAGGCGUAGUCGAUGGGAAACAGGUUAAUAUUCCUGUACUUGGUGUUACUGCGAAGGGGGGACGGAGAAGGCUAUGUUGGCCGGGCGACGGUUGUCCCGGUUUAAGCGUGUAGGCUGGUUUUCCAGGCAAAUCCGGAAAAUCAAGGCUGAGGCGUGAUGACGAGGCACUACGGUGCUGAAGCAACAAAUGCCCUGCUUCCAGGAAAAGCCUCUAAGCAUCAGGUAACAUCAAAUCGUACCCCAAACCGACACAGGUGGUCAGGUAGAGAAUACCAAGGCGCUUGAGAGAACUCGGGUGAAGGAACUAGGCAAAAUGGUGCCGUAACUUCGGGAGAAGGCACGCUGAUAUGUAGGUGAAGUCCCUCGCGGAUGGAGCUGAAAUCAGUCGAAGAUACCAGCUGGCUGCAACUGUUUAUUAAAAACACAGCACUGUGCAAACACGAAAGUGGACGUAUACGGUGUGACGCCUGCCCGGUGCCGGAAGGUUAAUUGAUGGGGUCAGCGCAAGCGAAGCUCUUGAUCGAAGCCCCGGUAAACGGCGGCCGUAACUAUAACGGUCCUAAGGUAGCGAAAUUCCUUGUCGGGUAAGUUCCGACCUGCACGAAUGGCGUAAUGAUGGCCAGGCUGUCUCCACCCGAGACUCAGUGAAAUUGAACUCGCUGUGAAGAUGCAGUGUACCCGCGGCAAGACGGAAAGACCCCGUGAACCUUUACUAUAGCUUGACACUGAACAUUGAGCCUUGAUGUGUAGGAUAGGUGGGAGGCUUUGAAGUGUGGACGCCAGUCUGCAUGGAGCCGACCUUGAAAUACCACCCUUUAAUGUUUGAUGUUCUAACGUUGACCCGUGAUCCGGGUUGCGGACAGUGUCUGGUGGGUAGUUUGACUGGGGCGGUCUCCUCCUAAAGAGUAACGGAGGAGCACGAAGGUUGGCUAAUCCUGGUCGGACAUCAGGAGGUUAGUGCAAUGGCAUAAGCCAGCUUGACUGCGAGCGUGACGGCGCGAGCAGGUGCGAAAGCAGGUCAUAGUGAUCCGGUGGUUCUGAAUGGAAGGGCCAUCGCUCAACGGAUAAAAGGUACUCCGGGGAUAACAGGCUGAUACCGCCCAAGAGUUCAUAUCGACGGCGGUGUUUGGCACCUCGAUGUCGGCUCAUCACAUCCUGGGGCUGAAGUAGGUCCCAAGGGUAUGGCUGUUCGCCAUUUAAAGUGGUACGCGAGCUGGGUUUAGAACGUCGUGAGACAGUUCGGUCCCUAUCUGCCGUGGGCGCUGGAGAACUGAGGGGGGCUGCUCCUAGUACGAGAGGACCGGAGUGGACGCAUCACUGGUGUUCGGGUUGUCAUGCCAAUGGCACUGCCCGGUAGCUAAAUGCGGAAGAGAUAAGUGCUGAAAGCAUCUAAGCACGAAACUUGCCCCGAGAUGAGUUCUCCCUGACCCUUUAAGGGUCCUGAAGGAACGUUGAAGACGACGACGUUGAUAGGCCGGGUGUGUAAGCGCAGCGAUGCGUUGAGCUAACCGGUACUAAUGAACCGUGAGGCUUAACCUU
rnacentral:rRNA from 1 species